UAUACGUAUGUUAUGAACACAUUUUCAGUUUUUUUAACAGAAUAUUAAAAGGGGUAUUACAAGAAGGACAAAUUGAAAUGAUAUUUCAAUACAAAAUCACUUAUUAUAGAAUAUUAAGUAGUAAAUUCAAACUGGAGGAACUCCAAAUUGCAAGCACAUACAUGCAUGAAUAUUCAGAAUAGAUUUUCGGUAUGAUUUUGGAUAUGACAAUGUAAAAAAAGUUGAUUGGUUUUCACGUCAAAAUAAAUUUACACAAAAAAUGGCCAAUCAAAAUAAGGGGGUGUCGCAUAUAAGUGAAUCGUUUAUAUAGAAUUGCAAAUUAAAGAAAAACUCUGUGUUACCAGACUUACCAGAAACAUUUGAUAUCUAUAGCUAACACACAUUAUAUUUCAACAUGAGCGAUGUUAAUGUCACAGAAGUUUUAUUUGUGAUUUUUUUUCCAAUCACUGUCCCGAGCUACUUAAUUUAUUGGCUCGGAAAAAAACUUUUCGGAGGCGACAAUCCUGCUCCAAGUGAUUUUCCGCAGGACCGAAGACUAUAAAACAGUCUCUUAGUUAACAGUUUUAGGAUUGAAAGAAGCGUCAUAAUUAUCUUAUUGUUCCUUGAUUAAAAUAUCACUAUGCAGUAUAUAAAUAAUUUCUGUUCAAAUCCAGAGAUAUACCAACAUGGAAAUAUUCAAAGGUGUAAAAAGACCAACUGUGGCUUCUGGAUUAAUUUUGCUUAGAUGAAACUUUACACCAAUUACAACUCUACAUAAUGUGAAGACAAGAAAACCGCUAUGCAUUGAAUCUACAGGGACAAAGUUGUGCAAUUUGCCUAGGAAACAUCUGACCUGUUUUCGAAAAUUCAAUUAAAAUGUAUUUAUCAAAUUAACAUUUUAAACAUAUUUGUUCAUUUAGCACGUUUCAAAAUCUAAUAAAAAAUGUGUUUUUCUA